rnacentral:rRNA from 1 species
UGCGUAGGCGGAUUAAUAAGUCAGUGGUGAAAUCUUUCGGCUCAACCGAGAAACUGCCAUUGAUACUGUUAAUCUUGAGUUCGGUUGAGGUAGGCGGAAUGUGUAAUGUAGCGGCGAAAUGCUUAGAUAUUACACAGAACACCAAUUGCGUAGGCAGCUUACUAGACCGACACUGACGCUGAGGCACGAAAGCGUGGGGAGCGAACAGGAUUAGAUACCCUGGUAGUCC